GCGAAAGCGUGGCCGGGCGCGGCGAGGGAAGCGGCGGGAUGAGCGUCCCCCGAGCAGCGGCUCCCCGGUCGGCACCGAGCCCUCCUGAGACUGAAGCAGAAUCCAUUGGAAAGAGAGUGGAAGAUGUGCUGAGGUUCCUGUGCUGGAGGACAAGUGAGCAUUCCUAAUGGAAAGAAGGCUCAGGACACUGCAGAGUGUGUCAAAGUGCUGCCUCACUGCACUGACCUGUCAAGCACCAAGAGCAGGGAACCUUUCUAGUGCAGAGUGUGGUGGGGAAUGUAUUCAGUCAUCCUUGGGAAAAGGAGGAAGGGAAAGAAACCAGAAGAGACAGAGAAGCAGCCUUCCUUCAAUUUUUUGCAUCACCUAGGACAGCAACCUGUGCUUUCCACAAAGUGGGAUUAUCCUAUGCACCUCACUUGACUAAGGGACAGAAGAUCAAGACUCAGUCAAAUACGCAGCUACCAUCAGAAUAUGGAUUUGGCCUGUGGCUCAUUCCUUUACCAGGACAAGAAAUUCUUGGAUGGUCAAAAGCAAGGUGGAAGCCAGGUGAAUUACUUUGGCAGCCUGGGAUGUGGUCCAUAGACUAUUACAUCACUAUAUUUAUCUAAGUGUAAAGUUAUGCAGGGAGUACAAGCAAACACCUGGGCAUAGAUAAAGCCUACUAAGAGCUAACAAGAUCUUUCCCUUUUUGCUGGACUCAAAGCUUUCAUAUUUUUCUAUUGUCCAAAUUAUAUAAAAUAUUCCAGAUUUCAGUACUACAGGUUAUGAAUUUUUUUUUCUUUCCCAUUACUCUUGAGGAACUUCAAUUUUUCCUUCUAAAUAGAAUCUACUAAAUUAAGUGUUGUGCAGGAAAAAACACACUCAAAUAAAAAGCACUUUCCUACCCAAAAUAAAUGAAUAUGAAUUUA